rnacentral:rRNA from 1 species
CCUUNNNGGGGKKSSWGCAGUAGGGAAUCUUCCGCAAUGGGCGAAAGCCUGACGGAGCAAUGCCGCGUGAGUGAUGAAGGUUUUCGGAUCGUAAAGCUCUGUUGCCAGGGAAGAACGCUUGGGAGAGUAACUGCUCUCAAGGUGACGGUACCUGAGAAGAAAGCCCCGGCUAACUACGUGCCAGCAGCCGCGGUAAUACGUAGGGGGCAAGCGUUGUCCGGAAUUAUUGGGCGUAAAGCGCGCGCAGGCGGUCAUUUAAGUCUGGUGUUUAAUCCCGGGGCUCAACCCCGGAUCGCACUGGAAACUGGGUGACUUGAGUGCAGAAGAGGAGAGUGGAAUUCCACGUGUAGCGGUGAAAUGCGUAGAUAUGUGGAGGAACACCAGUGGCGAAGGCGACUCUCUGGGCUGUAACUGACGCUGAGGCGCGAAAGCGUGGGGAGCAAACAGGAUUAGAUACCCCCCGGGGAARUCAA